GUGGAAUUUCAAGUGGUGCUGAACCAUGUAGCCAAGAUGUGCACUAUUACUACUCAUGGGAUUUUGCCCAGCAAGUCCACUAUCCACAUCAUGCCAACAAGUUGGGCCGAUAUAUUUCGCCACCCACAGAAGUGUCAUGUGUUUCGGAUGUGUGCCUUAGGUUCAGCUAUGUUUUUAUGGAAAGUAGACAUUUUAUCUGGUGGACGAGGCCGAAUUGCCGGGGAAAGGAAGUGACAGUGUCGUGAGCCUGGCCCACCACUACUUUCAGCACUAUGGUGUCGGUGAAAAACAUGCUGAGGUUUAUUUCGAUAAUGCUGUCGGCCAAAACAAGAACAAUGCUGUGCUUUGGUAUGCCAUGUGACCUGUAAUGACAGGAUUGCAUGAGAGUGUAACACUAAACACUAUGUUGGCUGGGCACACCAAAUUUGCUCCUGACUGUCACUUCGGCAACUGGAAGGUCCAGUGGCGAUGUUGUAAUGCCGAGAAUCUUCAAGAAAUUGCCCACACUGUUUUCACCUCUUCAAAGUCCGGCCACAACAUCCCACACUUGGUUUAUGACCCUCAACAGCCAAUCACAGUUCACAGUUGGAAAUCAUUCCUAGAUACAUAUUUCAAAACUUUAAAGAAUAUUACCAAAUACCACCAUUUCUAUGUAUCAAAACAUAAACCAGGAGUUUAGUAUGGAAAGAGUUUAUAGAUUCCUCAGAAAUUGAAGUUAUUCUUUUGAGGAUGAGUCCAGAAUGUGGUGUUUUGCCUGAAAUAAAGCACGCAACGUGCCUAGAUGCUGAACGUCAAUCGUACCUUCAAUAUUCUUUUGGUCCAUUCUUUAGAUCUGAGUCAUCAAGAUCUGCAGUAUGCCCUAAACCAACUCUGUGUAAAGUCGAAGUUUACUCAUUUGUUGGUGAAAUGUCGAUUGUAGAUCAAAUGUUUGUGGCAAAUAUGAAAGAAAUGAGUAAAAAAUGGCUUAUCACAUGUAACCAUAGCAACAGGCUGUUGUUUUAUGUAGUUCUUUUAUGUCAUUUUGUACAUAUAAUGAGCAAUGUGUACUCUUUGUGUCUAUGAAUUAGUUUAUGUGUUAGCUAUAACAGACAGUUAAGUUAGUAUUUCGGCAUGGACACUGCAUUUAAAAUAAGAACAUUUUUAGUGGACAUUGUUUUCAAACUGGCUUACCAAUGUGUAGCAGAAUGAUCCAUAUCUUUUGAUUUCUUUGUACAAAAAUGACUAGAAACUUUAGUUUUUAUACCUAAGAUACUUGGUAUCAUUUACAUGCCAAUAACUUAAAACGCAUUGUAUAUUGAGAACACAUUAUUUGUGGCAGACUUUGAAAAUGAUUGGAAAUAGCAUUUUCAUUAGUAACCAUAGCAACCGAUUUUUGCUUUGACCUUUGUGGCCAAUUUCUAUGUCAUUAUAGACAUAAGCAAUGUGUACUUGCUAUUUUAAUGUUGAAGUUUAUGUAACACUAGUAAAGAUAAGUGAUAUAUUUAAACAGGUAUCUUGACAUAUAUAUAAUAUUUAAAAUAAGAACAGUUUUGUUCACAUUGUUUUUUAUCCCUGUGUUUCAUAAUGUUUCAUAUGUUUUAUAACUUUUGUGAAAUUUAACGUGAAACUUUAGAGUUAAUUUCUGUAAAUACUUAGUAUCAUAAAGAUGUCAAUAACUUAUAAAUAAAAAAAAAUUAUGCGGACUUUCAAAAAUGAUUGGUAAUAGCAUUUUCAUAAGUAACCAUAGCAACUGAAUUUUGCUUUGACCUUUGUUGUAAGUUUCUUUAUCAUUAUGGACAUUAGCAAUGUAUACUUGUUAUUUUCCUUUUGUAGUGAAUGUGAUACUAGUAAAGAUAGUUUUAUAUAUUAAUAUUUUGACUUGUGUACUUCAUUCAAAAUAAGAACAGAUUUAGAACAUUUCGUUAAAAUUGUGUUAAAGCUCUCUGUUACGAAAUGUUCCAUAUCCAUUGUUGUUUUUUUAAUAUUUGACUGACUAGUUCAGAUUUUAUUUCUGCAAUUGCUUGGUAUCAUAAAAAUGUCAAUAACUUAAAACACAACUUUAUGAAAAACAUUAUUUUUUGAGAAACAUUUAGAAAAUGAGUGAAAAUGGCAUUAUCAAUAGUUACCAUAGCAACCAAAUGCACUUAUGAACUUUUCGUUAACUUUUGUAAUCAAACUAUGAGUGCUUAUUGUUUCUAUGCUAAAACUUAUAUGUUACAUGUAAAUAGUCCUUGACAUGAUACUUAUCUGACAUGGAUAUUUCAUUCUAAAUAAACACAUUAGACCAUA